AUGGCGUGGCGGCAGCCAACUGUCCGGCUGCUGCCUGCACCUUCCCCUACGCAGUCCGGUGGCUCCUCAUGGUACCACCAGCCUCACCCUCCCCCUGCACAGCUCUCAGUGAUAAUGACAACAGGUUCACCAGAUACUCGACCACCGCCGGCCACACAGGUCAUUCUGGCCAUGCCACCUCCGGCGCAAUCCCAUACCUGCAAGAGACAUCACCAUCCUACUUGUAGUCAUAGAGGUGCUGCGCAGGGUCGUGGACAGGGGGGACAGGAGGAUGACACGGUUAGAGGACGGACAGGCGAUAACAGAAGAAACAAGCGUUAA
rnacentral:rRNA from 1 species